AAAUCACAUGCUGGAAAAGGAAAUGAGGCAAGAAGUCAAAGGCAGCAUCUGAGUGACUCUUGCAGCAUCACUAAGGAACAUCCUGUAAAUCUGUUCCUCCUGAUGCCUUCUCAUUUCAACACAAAGCCCUGCUGAUGCUCCUUUUGCUCAGGCCCUUUGGAAAGGCACAAGUUGCCAUGGCAAUCCACAUCUCCAGUCAGCACAGCCCAUCGCAUCCCCACGGCAUUCCUGGUGAGCAGCAUGGCUCUGGGGCCUGGAAACACCUCCAGGGAUUAACUGGCCUCACUCUUUCAGAUGGUUUGUUGCUGCUCUCCCGGAUCAGCUGUGUGGAGAGGAACUGCUCCUGCUGUCCUUUUCUCUUGCCUGUACAUCCUGUCCCUGGGGAAGCUCAUUCAGCAGCACCAGCUCAGCUCUGCUGACAGCUUGCAGAUCUGCCUCUCCCCCUAAUGAAAAUUACAUCAGCUCCAACGAUUAAAUCUCUUUGGGGAUGGAAUUUUCAGAACUGGUUAUUGGCUUGGAAACAGAUUAGCAGAUAUUUGCCUGCCCAUCAGCAUCCCUAGGUAUAAAUUCCUGACCCUUGCUUGAUAUCCAUGACUGGUGAGUGCUUAACAUGCAGCAUAACCCCACCUGUGACAGGAUUCAUGGCUUAAUCACCAGGACCCAGAAAUGUGGACCAGUUCUCUUUUCAAAGAAUAUCUUGCUUGUCUUUCGUGCAUUCCAAGUGCCCAGACUCCAGGAAAGGAAAAAAAGCACACGAGGAUCCCUAGAUUUUGUCCAUGAAUUUGAACAAAUCUAAUCUCUUUCUGGUGCUAUUUCUCUUCCUAAACAAGGCUGACAUUUAUUUGCUUAAAUAUCCUUUCAGUUAACAGGUACCUGUCCAGUAUUUGAUCACAACUAUAAAUAAAAGAGGGGUAACAUAGUGCUGGUGAAUGCCAAUAAAUCUGCCAUUGAUUCCCAGCUGAAAUCCACACAGGAGAAAAUUGAAAUUUUUCCCCUACAUACGCAAAAUCCGGUGGGAUAAAGCAAUUAGGAGGCAAAGGGAUUAACAGAAGUUAUAAAAGUGAGGACAAAAGUGGAAGAUGGAAGCUUGGAGGGGAGUAUUUGGAAGUGUUUCUCCUGCAGUGCAGCAGAAAUGCAGCACAGGGGUGAGCAGUGAGAGGGGGCCUGGGAAAGGGCUGGAGUGUGAGGGUGGCUGAUGGCAGAGCAGUGAUCAUCCUGGAGCACCAACAGUUACCUGGUGCCACAGAUUGUCACAGAUUCCCAGGUGCUUCCUGCCUCAGAGUGCCCAAACUGCAGAGAGCUGGCAGGAAAAUGCUCAUCUGUGUCACCCUGUGCUGCCAUGAGCCUCUCUGUGUCACCCUGUGCCAC